GGUGGUGCAUUUUCCCUUGCAUAAUACAAUUUAAUACAAAAUUUGCAAAUUUCGUAGGGCUAUAUUUUGUUCUUCUUGCCUAGAUCAAAAUUUAGUCUAUAGGCAGCUGGAAUCAUCUAUUCUGUUGACCAAAUUAUAUAUGCACAAAUUUUCUCAUAGGUUUUAUUUUGUAGGUUCCAUUCGUUUCAAAAUACCAUGAUUGGAAUUUUCGUGUACAUCAUCAGUCAAUAUAAUUUAUUAUAUUAAUCACAAUAAUUCUACUUAAUAUCGAGAUUUCAAUUUCUAAACUAACCUAAUCUAAUCGUCAUCAAACGUUGGGGACCAUCUGUCUAGAGCGUCCAAUGAUUGUUCAGCAAGUUUAGUUGCUUGGACGUCGUUUGCAAGCGAGUCGUCAAAUGCUGCGUUGGAGGAAGACUUACUGCUUUCACCAUCAGCAAAAUCUACAAUAAAUUACCAAAUAUGAAAUUAGUUUUGCUUCAAGUAUAUAGCUACUGCAUGCAUACAUGGGUGUUAUUAUAGACUUAUUUGGAGGCUGUGACUUUGCAUUCAAAUACGACACUAAAAGGAAAAGUCAAAUGGCGAGUUUUUGUUCAUCCGAUGUUUAAUUACAUGACAAAAUUACAGAAUUCUGAUUGGUUGAGAGGAGUGCAAUGAUUUUAGUACUCUACACUAGUGCUAGGUCGGAAGUCUUCACAGGUAUGUGAUUCAGAAGGGAUCAAAUUAUUUAUGCAAUAUGAAAUAAGAUCUUCGAUAAAAAUAUCAUUUUCAAGGUUGAACGUCAACUACAAC